GGUGGAAGGCUACAUCGUCAAAACAUGUCUGACUUCCGUUCGAAACGCCAUUGUGUUCCGGAUUGAUAACAUUAUGUCGUGGUACAAAAUAGCUAUACACCGUUUAAUUGAACUCUUCUAACUAAGGAGGUGAGAUAGGAAUGAAAUCACCGAAACGCUUAGAAAAUAUGUCAAUUUUCUUCCUGUUUAAAGCUUUUAACUAACAUUGAUUAUCAGCUGUUUUGUACGGAAAACGUGGAAUCUAAAUAAUAUACCGUUUCCCUGCUCUGCUGCUAUUGGCAACACAUUUUUGUCAUGUCAUCUGCAACAGACGAUCAUACAUAUGUGGCGGAUUAUCGAUAUAGAUACAACUAGGUAGCAAUAGCAGUGGAAGCCCGGAUUUGCAAGCCAAAUGAGGGAAAGACAGAAUUCUGAAAAGGAGCAUGUUUUUCAUUUCCACACAUGCAUGUGUAUCACUAUGGACAUCUAAUGUUUUUGUGGGAUUUUGUGCAGCAGUUUGCCUUAAAAGAAUUUUUUUAUAUUUUAGUUUCAUAUUUAUGUGGAUUCUAAUAAAAAUCAUACAAACUUCAUUCAUGAUUUUUUUGUUU